AUAAUCCUCUGUGCUACGGAGUCCAAUCCUAACACAUCCCUGAUAAGGAGUGCUUUCUAUAGGAGCCCACAGUGUUGACACUGGAACAGCACAGCUUCUGUGAUCAAGCCAUGGCCACAUCAUACUUCAAUAUCUACAAAGUGAGCUCAACAUGCAAUAGUAAUUUGUACCCAGAUGAGCAAGAGGAAAAUGAGAGAUCAGAGUUUUUCCUUCCCAGUAGGCUUGGGCAAAGGCUAAAUGUGCCAAAUUUCUUCUUGAGUUAAUUACAGCCUGUCUCCUGGAACUAAAAGAAUUGCUCAUUAUUUUUCCUAUCCCCACUGCCACCACAUUUGUAUUUUAAAAGAUAACCCUUUGAAGAAAGAUGGGUUGAGAAUCUACAAUUGGUUCAAGGUUAAGAAGAAACUGGGAUUUGACCUGAUCAACAAAUUACAUUGGGCAGACAGUGGGUAUGAACACAGAGUUCAUAGUGGAUCUGAGAGAAGCUGUAAUUUUGAGCAUGUUCAAUAAAGGCAUUCUGAUUUUAGAAU